rnacentral:rRNA from 1 species
UACGGGGGGGGUAAGCGUUGUUCGGAAUUACUGGGCGUAAAGGGCUCGUAGGCGGCCAACUAAGUCAGACGUGAAAUCCCUCAGCUUAACUGGGGAACUGCGUCUGAUACUGGAUGGCUUGGAUCCGGAAGAGGGAUGCGGAAUUCCAGGUGUAGCGGUGAAAUGCGUAGAUAUCUGGAGGAACACCAAUUGCGAAGGCAGCUCGCUGGGACGUUACUGACGCUGAGACGCGAAAGCGUGGGGAGCAAACAGG